rnacentral:lncRNA from 1 species
GGCCUCGGGUUCUCCUUUGCCAAGAUCCCUCCGCGGCCACUGCCUUCAGAGAAGGUGACAGAGGGCCAUGUCUGAAACAUUCUCCCACAACCAGGAACCCUCAGCAGCCGCUGAAGAGGAAAGGCAGUUAAAUGGAAAGACUUCUGAGCAAGUGGAGGAAAAGUCACGUGUGACCUAGGGAGGGGCUCCCACAGGAAGGGGCAAUGCCCUUGCCCUGUUCACCUAGCCUCCAGGUGGCUUCCCACUUGAAAUUUCAGAGGAUGGCAGAAACCUACUUACAAGGAAAUGAAAGAGGGCACAGCAACCUUAAGACCAGAGCAGCCCACGAUAUUUUUUAAUGAGGGCAAAAAUAGAAGACUUGCAAAAGACCCCUGAAAAUAAUGCCUGGAAGCUGCGAAACAUCAGACUGACACCGCACAAAAGAGGUCCAGCUGAGCAGGAGAAAAGCUUGAGAAGCAUCCAGAACAAUGUAGGUGGAGAGGCUAAGAAGAAAGAGGAGCCCACAUGGAAUGAAUAACCAAGGUCGGGACAGAGGAAGGUUCGCCAGAACUGGGAGGGCUGAAAUUGGACAUUGAGAUAAAUUAAAGAGUGUUCUUUAAAACUGUCAAGACUUUGGCUGGUCAAUAAGUAAACU